rnacentral:rRNA from 1 species
UACGGAGGGUGCAAGCGUUAAUCGGAAUUACUGGGCGUAAAGCGUGCGCAGGCGGUUUGUUAAGUCCGUUGUGAAAGCCCCGAGCUCAACUUGGGAAUUGCAGUGGAUACUGGCAGGCUGGAGUACGGUAGAGGAAGGUGGAAUUCCCGGUGUAGCAGUGAAAUGCGUAGAUAUCGGGAAGAACACCAGUGGCGAAGGCGGUUGCCUGGAGCUUUGCUGACGCUGAGGCGCGAAAGCGUGGGGAGCGAUCCGG